rnacentral:rRNA from 1 species
UACGUAGGGUGCAAGCGUUGUCCGGAAUUAUUGGGCGUAAAGAGCUCGUAGGCGGUUCGUCGCGUCGGCUGUGAAAACCCGGAGCUCAACUCCGGGCCUGCAGUCGAUACGGGCGGACUAGAGUUCGGCAGGGGAGACUGGAAUUCCUGGUGUAGCGGUGAAAUGCGCAGAUAUCAGGAGGAACACCGGUGGCGAAGGCGGGUCUCUGGGCCGAUACUGACGCUGAGAAGCGAAAGCAUGGGGAGCGAACAGG